CCUACGGGAGGCUGCAGUGGGGAAUAUUGGACAAUGGGGGCAACCCUGAUCCAGCCAUGCCGCGUGUGUGAAGAAGGCCCUCGGGUUGUAAAGCACUUUCAGUGAGGAAGAACGCCUGGUGGUUAAUACCCAUCAGGAAAGACAUCACUCACAGAAGAAGCACCGGCUAACUCCGUGCCAGCAGCCGCGGUAAUACGGAGGGUGCGAGCGUUAAUCGGAAUUACUGGGCGUAAAGCGCGCGUAGGUGGCUUGAUAAGCUGGUUGUGAAAGCCCCGGGCUCAACCUGGGAACGGCAUCCGGAACUGUCAAGCUAGAGUGCAGGAGAGGAAGGUAGAAUUCCCGGUGUAGCGGUGAAAUGCGUAGAGAUCGGGAGGAAUACCAGUGGCGAAGGCGGCCUUCUGGACUGACACUGACACUGAGGUGCGAAAGCGUGGGUAGCAAACAGGAUUAGAUACCCUAGUAGUC
rnacentral:rRNA from 1 species